UGCAUGCAGUGGGCAGGAACCCAUGCAAGGCCAUUAAGAAUCUCAAGGAAGUCCCAUGCCAUACUAAUGCUCACAUGGCCAUAGACUUGGGUAUCCCCACCUGAGGAGCAGAGAGAGGGCUGGGGAGAUGGGAUAGAAGGACCAACCCACGGAAGAUAGAGGAGAGGAUGGAAGGGAUGAGACCCAAGUUUGCAGGGGCGUCUGGUCCUAGCAAGCUUCUUGCACUUGGACAUUGAAGCCCUUUCUGGUUAUGAAGGGGAAUAACAAGGAUCAAACGCUUUCAGGAGACUCCUCCUCCAUGGAGCAUUGCUACAUUUUUUUUAGAAAAAUUGUCUUUGAUGAACUUAUUUAAGGUAGAAGCUGAAGAUCAGACCUGGCAGCGCCCAACCCCAGAGGCCUGGAGAAGAGUGGCUGGUUCUCGCCAGACACAUGGAAGCAGAAAGUGGAGAGUGAAGCAAGGACGUGGUCCUGGGGUGUCUCCUUGAUGUGCUCAUUUCUCGGCCAUUAAUUAACUUCACAAAGUGUUUGCAGAAAGUGAAAGGUGUGCACGCCUGUGCACACUCACAGGACUUACCUGGUUUAGGGUCUGGACUGGAUGGAGGGAAACACAAGGUAAAUCUGAAGAGGAAGAGCCACCGAGGACGACAGAAAUUUGUAAGCGGAAAGAAAACGUGGCAGAGAGCGUGGAGCUCACAGCCGCUGGAAUUGAGGUUUGAGUCACUGAUUUCCAAGCCUACCGGCAUGCAGUGCCAAGAGAUAGCCAGGAGGUGGCGCUGCAGCGCUUCAUUUAUCCAGGUUCCGCCGCGGUCUGUGUUUUGAGGUCUUUUGUUACGUUUUAUUUCGGUGUUUUGUUUGCCGUGUGUGUGUGAAUUUUGUGUCUGCACUCCAGUAUUCUGGCCAGGAGAAUCCCAUGGACUGUCUAGUCCAAGGGGUCGCAAAGAGUCGCGGACACGACCGAGCGACUUUCAUUUUCACUUUCCUGUCCUUAAACAACCUGUACCCGCCUACCUUCUUUGCAGCUUCUCUCAGGAUGCUUUUCUUUUUUUUUUUCUUUGAAAUUAAAUCAAAACAAAAAGGGCUGCAAGGAAAGAGUAAGCAAGUGCUAGGUUCAGGAAGGACAGGGUGGUACUGGGAGCAGCUGACCAGAUCCAAGCUUGAUGGAGACCUGGCGUCUGUGGCCAUUGCCCUGCCUGGCCCCUGGGGGUCAUCCUGCUGGCAGGAGAGACCUCAGGUGGACACACCUGUUUGA
rnacentral:lncRNA from 1 species